rnacentral:tRNA from 1 species
GCGGGAAUAGCUCAGUGGUAGAGCACAACCUUGCCAAGGUUGGGGUCGCGAGUUCGAUCCUCGUUUCCCGCU